ensembl:lncRNA
AGAUGGUAUAAAAAUGUGUGAAUAUUAUGCUUUCUUCCUGUGCAGCCUAGAGUAUGGCAGGGUGGAAGAGGGGAACACGAUGUGUACGGAAACCCUCGUCCUUUCCAGUACAUGAGGGCUCUGAGGCCGACGGAUCCAAAGAUCUACCCUAAUGUGCGUGAUCGGGUCAAAGUCGAAUCCCCGAGAUCGUAUCAGCCACGCUCUAAUAUUCCCACCCACAGAUCCAUGGAAACAUCUCCGCUCCAGCCUCGAGCACACAGAAACCACCUUGUGGCCAAGCCCAGGAGCUUUGACUUAGCCCUGAGGAUCCCUUUUGCUCAUUCUCGUGAUGGUGCUAAUCCUCCUCGGUACGGACCGAGUGGCCUUAUUAUUGACAACAGUUUUAAUAAUCCCCGCAGACAGCAUGGCCAUGAUGCUUCCAAGCUGGGCUACCAGUUCAGCUUAUCUGUUCCCUUUUCACGUGGUUCUCCACGCCACCCAGGUGGCCACGAACAUCACGGUGGGCAUCAACACAGGCCUGAGGAAGGCUAUUUGGGUCAUCAAAGAGAGCAGGUUCAUGUGCCAGUUCGUCCAAGGCCAUACCCCGACGAGCAUCAUCGUGAGCAUGAUCGCGAGCAUCGUGAUGAAGGCCGCCCUGGGCGGGAGUUUGCAUUUCCAGAGCCAGAUGGACCAGAAAACCCAUCAAGGCCGCGCCAUCCUCAAAGAUAUGUCGGCCCUUACAGUGGAUACUACAACUCCCAGAUGAAGCCUACGUGGAAUGACUACUGGUGGCAUUACCGUGGACCUCACUGGGGUCAUAUAAAGCAUCCAUCUUCUGACCCUUGGCCAAAUUUCCAUCGGUCAGCUUCAGACUGACAUGGAUGGAAGAGACAAGCCAAACUCA